rnacentral:rRNA from 1 species
AUUGAACGCUAGCGGGAUGCCUUACACAUGCAAGUCGAACGGAGUGGCGAACGGGUGAGUAAUGUAUCGGAACGUGCCCAGUAGCGGGGGAUAACUACGCGAAAGCGUAGCUAAUACCGCAUAACAAUGGAGAGGCCGCUAUCGGCUUAGCUAGUUGGUGGGGUAACGUCUGACCAAGGCGAAGAUCCGUAGCGGGUUUUAGGGGACGACCAGCCACACUGUGACUGUGACACGGCCCAGACUCCUACGGGAGGCAGCAGUGGGGAAUGUUGUACAAUGGGGGAAACCCUGAUCCAGCCAUCCCGCGUGUGCGAUGAGGGCCUUGGGGUUGUAAAGCACUUUCGGCAGGAAAGCGGUACCUGCAGAAUAAGCACCGGCUAACUACGUGCCAGCAGACGCGGUAAUUC